UCAAGGUAUCAAGCCUCGCCGGCGAGCUGGAUUCCUCCGCCAUAUGCUCGUCGAGUCAAGCAUCACCUAUGCAGGCCUUACGGAAACAUUCAAGGACAAGAAAAAUGACGGUGUGGUCGAGGUUAUCAAAGAGAACAUUAAAGGCAAGAAUAAAGCCGACGUGGAGGAAGUCAUCAAGCUGCUCAAUCAACACCUUGCGCAGCCAGCCAAGCCCGUCUGACGCGGUAGCGGCCGUCGAGCACCCCGCACUGGUUCCCUUUGCACUGCCACGGACUUGGAGAAGCAGCAGCCUGCGUCCAAGAUCGAGCCCGAGGAAAACAACAACGACCCUGUCAAAGUGAUUAUGGAUGUUAUUCCCAGCACUCCUGCGGUCCUGUCCGAAGUUU